GACCUCCCCAAAGGGCUGCUCAGACACGUGGAAGCAUAUUUCCACCUUUGAGAAAGUUGUGAAGGAACAGCUCACGUGACACUUGAAAACCAUCUGGGUUUCUGUAAUUCUGUGUCAUUGUCCCGUGUAGUAAUGGAGUGACUUCAGCAAGAGGUUGGGCAAUGCGGCUCACCCAGCAGGUUCAAAGUCCCUGCCUGGCGUGCGUCUGAGGCUGCUCCUGGGUGCAGUGCCAGCACUUCUGGUGGACUUCACCAAGGCACUGAGGAUAGGGUACUGCUCACCGGCCUCGAGCGGGUUGGGUGCCCAGACGUGCAGAACUGUUGGCACGACUUUAGCCCUACUGAACAUUAAAUGGGUUUGCAUUAUUGUUGUUAUCUUCAGGAUGAGGAAGUUGACACAGGAGCAAAGUGACCUGCCUGAUUUCUGGUUGCGUCCACCUCUGAUGGUAAAUCCGAGGUGGACACCCAGGCUGCUGCUCCUCUGGCGUUUCCCUGGCGUGAAUUGAAUUAGAAAUGAGCAGAAUCCCGUAGGUUUGUCCCCGGUUGGUAUUUCCUGGUUGACAAGGAAGUGCUACUGGAACAGAAGGAUGUUUCUGGGAAGUUCUGCUCUAUCCUGGGAGCCGUGGAACUCCACAGUUCCACGGGUUUAUGACAGAGGUUUGUCAUUUCUUGUGGUUCACAAGACUCAGAGGAGGGGAAGGGACAGAAGAUGCAGGUCUCCCCCAACCCACAGGAUCAUGGGACACAACAAGGGACACCAUUCUAAGGAAAUCUGGUGUAGGCCAGGUGCAGGGGCGCACGCCUGUCAACCCAGCAACUCGGGAGGCUGAGGCAGGAGGACCGCAAGUUCACAGGUUUUGUGGAAUGUCAUCAAGCAACUUAGACCCAGUCUCUGAAUUAAAAACAAAAGGACUAGGGAGGUGGCUCAGUGGUUAAGUGCCCCUGGGUUCAAUCCCCAGUACCAAAAAAAAGGGAAAGUCUGGGACAACAAAAUUCAUUCUUCUUUUCUUUUCUUUUUUUAAUUUUUAAAUUAAUUAAUGUAUCACUAAGCCACAUCCUCAGCCUCUUUUAUUUUUUAUUGUUAGACAGAAUAAGUUUCAUAGGCUAUUGCUAAGUUGCUGAGGUUGGCUUUGAACCUUUGAUCCUCUUGCCUUAGCCUCUAGAGCUACUGGAAUUAUAGGUUUGUUUUGUUUUUUAAUUUUUGAAGCAGGAUUUCCCCAAGUUGCUCAGGCUGGCCUCAAACUCCUGGCCUCAAGCUGUCCUCCAGGUGAUAGGUACCUGGAGGACAGCUCCAUUUUUUGUAUUUUUGAAGAUCUUAUCAGAUCCAAAUCAUUAAAUCUAAGAAAUGAAUGCUUUCCCUUUUUAUUUCUCUUUUCAUUUUAAGCAGAUACUUUUCUCUCCCACUGACACAUGCUCUUGAAUGCUGAUCUUCAGAGACUACACUGGUCUGACUGGCCAUCAGAACAAAGCCCCAACUGGUUGGAUUUGAGCCCAGGGUCAAGCUGCUGUGGGUCUGGUGCUCCUGAGCCUCUCCCUGGGCUUGCAGGUGGCCGCCUGGCCCCAUGUCCUCCCACGGCCUUUCUGUGCUCAGCUGCCCUGCGGUCUGCGAGUCCAGAUUUCCUCUUCUCAUGAGCACACAGGUCACGUUGGAAUCAGCCCCCUCCCCAGGGACCCUAAUCCAAUCCCAACCUAAUCACCUAAUCAUUUUAACUUAAUCACCUUUUUGAAAGCUCCCUCUGCAAACCCUUCUUAGUCUCCCGGGUCGGGGUCAGCGACGUGACCUCUCUUAACCUUCCUGACCAGUUUAAAGACCCGUCUGCCCCGUCCUGCAGGGAGGCGGACUUCAACCUGCGCUCCUCCAGGUGGCAAGGAUUCGCCCUGAACAAGCUCUGGCCAGGAGACUCU
rnacentral:lncRNA from 1 species